rnacentral:rRNA from 1 species
GCUGGCGGCGUGCUUAACACAUGCCAGUCGCACGGAAAGGCCCUGCUUUUGUGGGGUGCUCGAGUGGCGAACGGGUGAGUAACACGUGAGUAACCUGCCCUUGACUUUGGGAUAACUUCAGGAAACUGGGGCUAAUACCGGAUAGGAGCUCCUGCUGCCUGGUGGGGGUUGGAAAGUUUCGGCGGUUGGGGAUGGACUCGCGGCUUAUCAGCUUGUUGGUGGGGUAGUGGCUUACCAAGGCUUUGACGGGUAGCCGGCCUGAGAGGGUGACCGGCCACAUUGGGACUGAGAUACGGCCCAGACUCCUACGGGAGGCAGCAGUGGGGAAUAUUGCACAAUGGGCGGAAGCCUGAUGCAGCAACGCCGCGUGCGGGAUGACGGCCUUCGGGUUGUAAACCGCUUUCGCCUGUGACGAAGCGUGAGUGACGGUAAUGGGUAAAGAAGCACCGGCUAACUACGUG